rnacentral:rRNA from 1 species
GUGGGGAAUUUUGGACAAUGGGCGCAAGCCUGAUCCAGCAAUGCCGCGUGCAGGAAGAAGGCCUUCGGGUUGUAAACUGCUUUUGUACGGAACGAAACGGUCCGGGUUAAUACCCUGGGCUAAUGACGGUACCGUAAGAAUAAGCACCGGCUAACUACGUGCCAGCAGCCGCGGUAAUACGUAGGGUGCAAGCGUUAAUCGGAAUUACUGGGCGUAAAGCGUGCGCAGGCGGUUUUGUAAGACAGGCGUGAAAUCCCCGGGCUCAACCUGGGAAUUGCGCUUGUGACUGCAAGGCUGGAGUGCGGCAGAGGGGGAUGGAAUUCCGCGAGUAGCAGUGAAAUGCGUAGAUAUGCGGAGGAACACCGAUGGCGAAGGCAAUCCCCUGGGCCUGCACUGACGCUCAUGCACGAAAGCGUGGGGAGCAAACAGGAUUAGAAACCCUGGUAGUCC